rnacentral:rRNA from 1 species
UAUCCGGAAUUAUUGGGCGUAAAGGGCUCGUAGGCGGUUCGUCGCGUCCGGUGUGAAAGUCCAUCGCUUAACGGUGGAUCCGCGCCGGGUACGGGCGGGCUUGAGUGCGGUAGGGGAGACUGGAAUUCCCGGUGUAACGGUGGAAUGUGUAGAUAUCGGGAAGAACACCAAUGGCGAAGGCAGGUCUCUGGGCCGUCACUGACGCUGAGGAGCGAAAGCGUGGGGAGCGAACAGGAUUAGAUACCCUGGUAGUCCACGCCGUAAACGGUGGAUGCUGGAUGUGGGGACCAUUCCACGGUCUCCGUGUCGGAGCCAACGCGUUAAGCAUCCCGCCUGGGGAGUACGGCCGCAAGGCUCAAACUCAAAGAAAUUGACGGGGGCCCGCACAAGCGGCGGAGCAUGCGGAUUAUGCGAUGCAGGCGAAGAACCUUACCAGGGCUGACUGUUCGCGA